UACGUAGGGUGCAAGCGUUAAUCGGAAUUACUGGGCGUAAAGCGUGCGCAGGCGGUUUUGUAAGUCUGACGUGAAAUCCCCGGGCUUAACCUGGGAACUGCAUUUGUGACUGCAUCGCUGGAGUGCGGCAGAGGGGGAUGGAAUUCCGCGUGUAGCAGUGAAAUGCGUAGAUAUGCGGAGGAACACCGAUGGCGAAGGCAAUCCCCUGGGCCUGCACUGACACUGAGGCACGAAAGCGUGGGGAGCAAACAGG
rnacentral:rRNA from 1 species